UGCGGGGUCGUCUAAUGGUAGGACAUGCGGUUUUGGUCCGUAGAAUUGGGGUUCAAAUCCCUGCCCCGCAACCA
rnacentral:tRNA from 2 species